GACGAACGCUGGCGGCGUGCUUAACACAUGCAAGUCGAACGGAAAGGCCCUGCUUGCAGGGUACUCGAGUGGCGAACGGGUGAGUAACACGUGGGUGAUCUGCCCUGCACUUCGGGAUAAGCCUGGGAAACUGGGUCUAAUACCGGAUAGGAGCCAUUUUUAGUGUGAUGGUUGGAAAGUUUUUUCGGUGUAGGAUGAGCUCGCGGCCUAUCAGCUUGUUGGUGGGGUAAUGGCCUACCAAGGCGGCGACGGGUAGCCGGCCUGAGAGGGUGGACGGCCACAUUGGGACUGAGAGACGGCCCAGACUCCUACGGGAGGCAGCAGUGGGGAAAAUUGCACAAUGGGAGCAAGCCUGAUGCAGCGAGGCCGCGUGGGGGAUGACGGCCUUCGGGUUGUAAAAUCCUUUCGCUAGGGACGAAGCUUUUUGUGACGGUACCUAGAUAAGAAGCACCGGCUAACUACGUG
rnacentral:rRNA from 1 species